ACAGGUGUUACAGGAUGAGCUCACUGCCAGACACUAAAGACUGAAAAGUUGCACUCGCUGAAAAAAGAGAUCUGGAAUGUCUGAAUAAAGAUUGCGCAAGAGCAUAUCCAAACACAAGAUGUUCCAAGCCAAGAUGUGAAGAUGAAGAACUGGAAAACACUUUCUUUAAAACAGAUCCAUUCCUUCAAAGAAUGUCCAGGCCCUUGGUAUUUGUUUUCCUGACCCAGGAGGGCAGGAUAAUGCAGCAGGGGAAUCCAGCAGUUGGGGGAUCUGUCAAGCAUCGUCUGGACAGACCAUCAGGCCAUCAUGGUGGAGGAUGAAGUGCAGGCAGGGGUUGAAAUCUGGAACGGGAUUAUACACAGACAAGCAGCUCAGCUGGCCAUGCAGAAGAGCCCAAUUGCAAAGGCGAACUGCCAGCCAGAUUGGAUCAAGCAAGAAGGGAAUGGCUAGUGGAUCUGGACAGCAAAAACCUCCAUGACCAUGAGAUGGUGGUAAAGAGUUUGCCUCCUGCAUCUCUUCCCUGCCCUGCAGUGGUCCUCUGGGGGGUUGCAGCUGAGAAUACAGGAGACAAUUCUCACUCCUCUGCUUAAACAACUGCAGGAGAGAAGAGCCCACCACCACUGAGAAGAGCCCAACGAAGACUGUUAAAG